ACUCACAAACACUUAGUAAUUUUUUGUUUCCUUUUCACCAAAUCACAUACUACACUCUCUCCCUCACUUACCCUCUUUGCGUGGUACCCUAACCUAGAAUCAGAACCCAUCUCACCUCUCUCAUCUCUCGCCACUCUGUCCCUCAAGCCCGUCGCCGGCUCCUCAAGCUUUGGUCGCCCCCUCAAGCUCGUCGCUGCCUCAAGCUCUGUCGCCCCCUCAAGCUUGUCACGGCCUCAAGCUCUGUCGCCGCCUUAAGCUCGUCGUCGCCUCAAGCUCACGUCGCCGCCUCAAGCUCGUCGCCGCCUCGAGCUCGCGUCGCCGCUUCAAGGUCAUCGCCGCUCAAGCUCUGUCGCGCUCUAUCAUAGUUCGUAAGCUCGCCUUCCUGCUUCGGCCAUCAACGCUUCCUCGGCCCUGAGUCUGGGUUUAGGGUUUCAGCUUCGGCUCGGGUCUUCCAUCAACGCUUGCUUCGUCUCUCUGCCUAUGUGGUUGUUGACUUUGAUUAUAAUCGUAUCACUACAUCAGAGAAAAUUUCACCUAUUUCCGAGCAAGAAUACCGCUUCUUGCGUGGUGAGGUAAUCAAGUUAUUAUACCCCAAUGUAAUUGGAAUUGAUGAAUUGAAGGCUGGAAUAUAUAGUGUAUCUGAGCAUUAUACUAAAUUUGUGGCUAAGCAGUGGGGAGCGGAUCAUGACCUUCAGUUAAGGAUGAUAUUCUUAAAGUUCUUUGCAACACUUUUAAGUGGCUAUCGGAAUUUCCUAGCAUCAGGAAAAUAGUUCCACUCAAGUCUUCAAUACUCAAGCUUUCUUGAAGAAAUGGUCUCGAGCUACUAACCAAUCACCAGAGCCAAUGGUUCUAUUAAGGAUUCAAGAACUUGAAUGCUCCAAGAUAAUCCAUCUAGAACUCAAGGGAACCAAUGCAUAUUCCAAAGUCAAUUAUCAUCAGGCAA